UAUAUCAAUUAAUCACUUAUUUUUUGCAGAUGACAGUUUCCUUUUCGGUGAGGCAUCAGUAGAAGGCAAAACGACAAUGAAAAGAGUAGUGAACGAAUAUGAGAGCAUAUCAGGUUAGUUAAUGAACUUUGAUAAAUCACUAAUUUUUUUUAGUAGCAACAUGAACGAUGGGUAUAUGAACCAAUUUUUUUAGUAGAAACAUGGAUUCCCCUAGAAGAAAUGAUUCUUAAAGUAAAUUUCGAUGCACCAUACCAGCAGCAAUCAAAAAAGGGUAUAGGAGGAGUUGUUGUAAGGAAUUCUGAGGGACUGGUAAUGGCAGCAAGUGUUUACUAGUGGGAAAAUGUUCAGGA
rnacentral:lncRNA from 1 species